GUGAAUCAUCGAAUUUUUGAACGCAAAUUGCACUCUCUUCGGAGAGUAUGCCUGUUUGAGGGUCAGCCUAAAUAAAAUCUACAUGGUUUCUUUUACGCUGUAACAUUCGUCGUAUAUUGGGUCAUCUUAAACCUUUGGGUUAAAGCGAGUUAAAAUUGUCUUUUCGAUUCCAAGAACGUUUCUAAUAUUUUAUUUUCUUAUACGUUUACGGUAACGAUCUUUAUUAGAACUUUCCUUUGC
rnacentral:misc_RNA from 1 species